CUUAUUCUGGCAAGUUUCUCCAGCUCUACAAGAACUUCUAGUGCUCUGGGCAGCUGCGAGGGGUCAAGAAACCACAUCCCCAAAUCCAGCGGGAUCUCAGAAAGAAAGGCUUAUGGGAAGCUGCCCAGGACUGACCUGGCACAUGCUGGGAAAACCCCUCGGUGCCAGGGCAGGAGGCAGAGCAUCUGCGGCUCCUCCCUCCCCAUCACAGGGGAGACAGAAUUUUGCCUUGUUGCCCAGGCUUGUUGUGGUCUUGAACUCCUGACCUCAAAUGAUCCGCCUGCCUCAGCCUCCCAAAGUGCUGGGAUUACAGGUGUGAGCCUCCGUACCUGGCCAGAUUUUGUUGUUCUUCUCCUCCCUCCACUCAUACCCUUAACACAGAUUUAUCAAGGGCAGAGAAAAUGCAUGGGAAUACACAGCCAAGAAGCAAUCCAGUGUCCCCUCUACUCACAGCUAAGUUCCUGUUGACGAGGCGGCCCAGCUCCCCAGGUGUGGCUGUGUUCCGGAUAUCCACGUCGUGGGGGGACACAUAAAGCUUUGUGUCAUUCAGGUCAAAGAACUCGACUUCUGUGAGACCCACCCACCACGAGUUGCCCCAGUUGGACAGGAUCUCCAUGGUCACGUAGAUGGCAUCUUUGAUCUCGUCUGCCCUUGUUCUCUGUUUGUCCUUAAAGAAGAGAAAAAUAACACCAAAGGAUUAAGUCAUGACAGGCUUGAAUUCGGCUCUACCUCUGCUACCACUGCCUUCAAAAAGUUAGUUAACCUUCAGUGUCUCAGUCUCUCCAUCUGUACAAUGAGGAUAAGAAUAGCACCCACUACCUAUGGUUAUUCCCAUGAUCAAAUGAAUUCAUACUGUAAAGCAUUCAAAAUAGAGUCGCUGUGUGACUGGCACUCUGUGAGCAUUCUGUUUGAGAGUUUAGAAAUACAUAAAAAUGUCUAAAAAGCAUUGAA